AUUGAACGCUGGCGGCAUGCUUUACACAUGCAAGUCGAGCGGUAACAGGCCUUCGGGUGCUGACGAGUGGCGAACGGGUGAGUAAUGCAUCGGAACGUACCCAGAGGUGGGGGAUAACGCAGCGAAAGCUGUGCUAAUACCGCAUGUGAUCUGAGGAUGAAAGCGGGGGACCGAGCAGCAAUGUUUGGCCUCGCGCCUUUGGAGCGGCCGAUGUCGGAUUAGCUAGUUGGUGGGGUAAAGGCCUACCAAGGCGACGAUCCGUAGCUGGUCUGAGAGGACGACCAGCCACACUGGGACUGAGACACGGCCCAGACGCCUACGGGAGGCAGCAGUGGGGAAUUUUGGACAAAGGGCGCAAGCCUGAUCCAGCAAUGCCGCGUGCGGGAAGAAGGCCUUCGGGUUGUAAACCGCUUUUGGCAGGAACGAAACGGUGUCCGCUAAUACCGGGCGCUAAUGACGGUACCUGCAGAAUAAGCACCGGCUAACUACGUG
rnacentral:rRNA from 1 species